rnacentral:rRNA from 1 species
AGCGCCAGGGAAUUACGAGCAAUGCUUAAAACCCAAAGGAUUUGACGGUAUCCCAUCCACCUAGAGGAGCCUGUUCUAUAAUCGAUACCCCCCGCUACACCCAACCACUCCUAGCCCAUCAGCCUGUAUACCUCCGUCGAAAGCCUACCAUGUGAAUGUUCUUAGUGAGCUUAAUGUCCCCGUCAAAACGUCAGGUCAAGGUGCAGCUCAUGGAGCGGAAAGCAAUGGGCUACAAUUUCUAAUCUAGAACAUACGAAAAACUAGGUGAAACCCUAGUCAUGAAGGCGGAUUUAGCAGUAAAAAGAAAAUAGAGUGUUCUUUUUAACCCGGCCCUGGGAUGUGUACACACCGCCCGUCACCCUCUUCGACUGUAUUUAACAAUGUUCUAUAACUUCCCCCCACAUUUUAGAAGAGGCAAGUCGUAACACGGUAAGUGUACUGGAAAGUGCACUUGGCUAAUAC